rnacentral:misc_RNA from 1 species
GAUUAAGAACGCAGCAAAAUGCGAUAAGUAAUGUGAAUUGCAGAAUUCAGUGAAUCAUCGAAUCUUUGAACGCACAUUGCGCCCGCCAGUAUUCUGGCGGGCAUGCCUGUUCGAGCGUCAUUUCAACCCUCAAGCACAGCUUGGUGUUGGGACUCGCGUUAAUUCGCGUUCCCCAAAUUGAUUGGCGGUCACGUCGAGCUUCCAUAGCGUAGUAGUAAAACCCUCGUUACUGGUAAUCGUCGCGGCCACGCCGUUAAACCCCAACUUCUGAAUGUUGACCUCGGAUCAGGUAGGAAUACCCGCUGAACUUAAGCAUAUCAAUAAGCGGAGGA